rnacentral:rRNA from 1 species
GGCCCAAUUGAUUGAUGGUGCUUGCACCUGAUUGAUUUUGGUCGCCAGCGAGUGGCGGACGGGUGAGUAACACGUAAGUAACCGGCCCAGAAGCGGGGGACAACAUUUGGAAACAGAUGCUAAUAGCGCAAAACAACGUUGUUCGGAUGAACAACGCUUAAAAGAUGGCUUCUCGCUAUCACUUCUGGAUGGACCUGCGGUGCAUUAGCUUGUUGGUGGGGUAACGGCCUACCAAGGCGAUGAUGCAUAGCCAAGUUGAGAGAAUGAUCGGCCACAAUGGGACUGAGACACGGCCCAUACUCCUACGGGAGGCGACAGUAGGGAAUCUUCCGCAAUGGGCGCGAGCCUGAUGGAGCAACACCGCGUGAGUGAAAAAAGGUUUCGGCUCGUAAAGCUCUGUUGUUAAGGAAUAACACGUAUGAGAGUAACUGUUCAUACGUUGACGGUAUUUAACCAGAAAGUCACGGCUAACUACGUGCCACCAGCCGCGGUAAUACGUAGGUGGCAAGCGUUAUCCGGAUUUAUUGAGCGUAAAGAGAGUGCAUGCGGUUUUCUAAGUCUGAUGUGAAAGCCUUCGGCUUAACCG